rnacentral:rRNA from 1 species
UUCGAUUGUGCCAGCAGCCGCGGUAAUACAGAGGGUGCAAGCGUUAAUCGGAAUUACUGGGCGUAAAGCGCGCGUAGGUGGUUUGUUAAGUUGGAUGUGAAAUCCCCGGGCUCAACCUGGGAACUGCAUUCAAAACUGACUGACUAGAGUAUGGUAGAGGGUGGUGGAAUUUCCUGUGUAGCGGUGAAAUGCGUAGAUAUAGGAAGGAACACCAGUGGCGAAGGCGACCACCUGGACUGAUACUGACACUGAGGUGCGAAAGCGUGGUGAGCAAACAGGAUUAGAUACCCUGGUAGUCCACGCCGUAAACGAUGUCAACUAGCCGUUGGGAGCCUUGAGCUCUUAGUGGCGCAGCUAACGCAUUAAGUUGACCGCCUGGGGAGUACGGCC